rnacentral:siRNA from 1 species
UAACCAAAACAAGUUUUCAAUA